AGGACGAACGCUGGCGGCGUGCUUAACACAUGCAAGUCGAGCGGAAAGGCCCUUCGGGGUACUCGAGCGGCGAACGGGUGAGUAACACGUGAGCAACCUGCCCUUAGCUCCGGGAUAGCUCCGGGAAACCGGAAUUAAUACCGGAUACAACCACGGCCGACAUCUGCUGUGGUGGAAAGGAUUCCGGCUAAGGAUGGGCUCGCGGCCUAUCAGCUAGUUGGUGGAGUAACGGCCCACCAAGGCGACGACGGGUAGCC
rnacentral:rRNA from 1 species